UUGCCUAAACCUAACUUCCUGUGAAAACGGAAGUUUAUUUUGAAAGGACACCAUGCAUGUAACAAGCAUAUAUUGACACGCCGUCUCUGGUCCGUCCAAAAGUAACGCAAGAGGGGUACCCCGCACGUCGGUCUCCAAUGCCAAGGGGAACUGACCAAGCGGCGGUAUUUGACGAGUUGGGAGUGAGAAAGUGUUGACUUAGCCCGGUCUCCUAAAAAUGAUGUUCCCAUACAACUUAAAUGUAUUCUCAAUUACGUUUGGAAGGAAACGUAUUUUGUCACGAAGUCCGUUUGUCUUUCAGUCGAGGCAGAUGGCCGCCCACCCAGAGCCGGGUUCUGCCCGAGGUUUCUACCCGCUGGAGGGGAGUUUUUUCUUGCCAUUGUUGCAUAACAAUUCAAUGCUCAUGGGGGAUCUCUUGUUGGGUCUCUAAAUUAGUUAUUAAAUGAAUAUGGUCUAGACCUGCUCUAUAUGAAAAGCCUCUCAAUAUAACUUCUGUAAUGAUUUGACGCUAAAUAAAAAUAUUAGUAUCACAAAUACUUUUGUAAGUCUGCAGACGGCUUGAAUGAAGGCGUUCAAAGUUGGCCCCACCUCCCCGGCUCAACGAGGGUUACGGUGCUUCCCAGCGGGUGAAAGCCAACCUCAGAUUCACUCUCGUUUUGGAACGAGCUUUGUCUGCUUGGCGUUUCGCCCUGCUUUUUUUCCAGGGAGUUUAUUCGGCAUUGUGUCCGCUGUUUACGUAGCUUUCUCUUGGACGCGUGCUUACGGUCUGGCACCUGGUCGCUACAUUUUUAAUGAGGUUGACGAAAAGGGGUCUAUAGCUGGGAACGUAGCAGCGCAGUGUGUGUACGGUUUAUUUGUUCGUGAAUAAAUGCUACAACUCCUCAAGACCCAAGCUAAGUUCCUGUGUCUUGCUUGCCACCUGCUGAUUAAAGUGAAGGGAAACCAGGCUCACUUAAGGUGGACUGACCUUUAAGGUGGACCAGCUAUUCUCAUUUUAGUACGCACAAAAAGUACCAAAGUAAGUACCAAAAACUAUCAAAUAUCAAGAGUUGGUAUCAAAUUCUUGGUCAGAUUCUUAAGGCGUUUUUAGUUAUUAGUUAUUCCGCGAUCAAUUUCCUGACCCAAAUCAGGAAAAGAGUUAGUUGAUUAAUCGAUUAUUGAUCAACAGAUAAUGAAUG